CUAAGCCCAUCUACAUUUUUCAUUAUUGACCUGAUAUCUGAUUUUGUUCUGCUGCCUGGUCCUCCAGGAGCUGGAGAGCAACACCAAAGCCAUGCAAGACAAACAUGAGGACCUGAGGAAGGAGGUGGCCCAGAGACAACAAGAAGUCCGGUAUUACAUUGUGAAGCUCAAAGCUGUUUACACCAUCUGGUGAUGUCUUCAUUGCACUGUCUUGUUGUUGUUUUGCUCUUUUGCACAGGGGUCUGAUAGAAGACAUAGAAACCCAUGAAGCAGAGAUACUGAAAGAACGGAAAGCGCUGGAAGAUACGAAAGAGAUCAUAGAGCUCAAAAAGGCUGAGAAAGUCCACCUCAUCAGCAUACCUGACCAGAUUUCAAAGGAGACUGAAAGAAAGCGAUCCAAGAGGGACGCUGCCACAAAGAAGAUAGAAGCACUAAAUAUGGAAAUUGUAGAGGUGGAGCAGGAGGUGAAAAAAGUGGAUGAGCAUAACCAUUCCCUUAGGAUGAAGACCGAGGAGGUGAUGCAAGAGGUGGACAGUGUGAGGAACCAAGUGGAGGCCAGUCAAAAGGAAUACAGACAGCUGCAAAAGAAGCAGGAGGUCGGCAGGGAGGAGGAGGCUGAGUUCAUGGGUUACAGAGGCAUCUUGGAAAUGAAGCUGCAGAACAUCAUGUGUGACAGAAAGUACCUGUAUGAGAGCCAAUGUGUGCAGCUCAGGGAG
ensembl:lncRNA